rnacentral:rRNA from 1 species
ACCCAACCUGGGAUUGCCUCAGUAACGGCGAGUGAAGCGGCAACAGCUCAAAUUUGAAAGCCCGCGGGCGUUGUAAUUUGCAGGCGGAUGUUUUGGGGCGGGCGCUGUCUACGUUCCUUGGAACAGGACGCCGCAGAGGGUGAGAGCCCCGUGCGAUGGCGCCUUUAACCGCGUAAAACUCCGCCGACGAGUCGAGUUGUUUGGGAAUGCAGCUCUAAGUGGGUGGUAAAUUCCAUCUAAAGCUAAAUACUGGCGAGAGACCGAUAGCGAACAAGUACAGUGAUGGAAAGAUGAAAAGCACUUUGAAAAGAGAGUGAAACAGCACGUGAAAUUGUUGAAAGGGAAGGGUAUGCGAUUAGCGGCCAGCAGGAGGUGCGUUCUCGCGAAAAGGCCGUGCACCGUCUUCGGACACCGUGCGCGGAGAUGGCGAGGGGGCGCCUGAGGUCUGCGACUCGAGGUUGCUGGCGUAAUGAUCAUACCACC